UACGUAGGUGGCAAGCGUUGUCCGGAAUUAUUGGGCGUAAAGCGCGCGCAGGCGGUUCUUUACGUCUGAUGUGAAAGCCCACGGCUCAACCGUGGAGGGUCAUUGGAAACUGGGGAACUUGAGUACAGAAGAGGAAAGCGGAAUUCCACGUGUAGCGGUGAAAUGCGUAGAGAUGUGGAGGAACACCAGUGGCGAAAGCGGCUCACUGGACCAUAACUGACGCUGAGGCACGAAAGCUAGGGGAGCAAACGGG
rnacentral:rRNA from 1 species